GCGAGCACGCAGAAGUAGUAGAAGCCAUGGGAAGCUCCGCUAAAAACUCCAGAAAAGAUGGAAAAUACCGUAAAACCCUCACAGCCGAAGAAGAAGCUAAAAGGAGAAAGGAGAUGGCAGAAUGGCUGAGGGAAAAGUACGAGCUGGACAGAAGAGCUCUGAAGGUGGUGGAGCGUCUCCUGGAGGACAGCGUGUCUGAAGACUUCCUGGUUGACUGUGCCAGGUUUAUCACUGCUGCUAAUUACAAGGAUGCAAUCGAGGAGAGAUUCAUCUCUAAGCUGUGCGGGUAUCCCAUAUGUCCAAACAAGCUGGGCAAGAUCCCGACUCAACAGUACAAGAUUUCUACUAAGACCAAUAAGGUGUAUGACCUUACCGAGCGCAAGUGUUUCUGCUGUAAUUUCUGCUACAAAGCCUCCAAGACGUUUGAGCUGCAAAUAUCAAAGACGCCUCUGUGGCUGAGACCCACUGAAAGUCCUGCAACAAUUAAACUGCUGAAGAAAGGAGACGGCGGGGGCUGUGGCGAGGAGGUGAUGCUGAAGGAGCGGCGUCUCAAAGUGGAGGACAUCGAGAACCCGACGGCUGCCCAGACAGAGGACUCUCACCGCUCUCCACCGUCCGUCGGGGACGAGGGUCAGAGCGACAGCGACCGUGAGCAGGAGCAGGACUUCGUCUCCAGCAUGGUCGAUCAGCAGCAGAGACCCCGGGUGCACUGGGGCCCGCUGCCCUCAGGCCCAGCUGAAGACCAGAAAGUGGAACAAGGUCAAACUGAGAGAGGAAAGAAGCAAGUCUCGCUCGUGUCCCAAACAGACCAUAAGCCUGACUCUGACCUGGAGGAGGUGGGAGCUCGGAUUUCUGAGUGCAGAAUCUCAGAGGAAGCAGCUCACGCUCCGAUGCACGCUGACUCGCCUCCCACAGAGGCGGGACGCACCGCGGACCCCCCGACAGAAAUCAAAAAUCCCGCCUCUGAAACUCUGCAGGCCUCAAAAAAGGAUUCGGCCUCACCGAACCAGCAAGCCUUCAGCAUCACCCAGGUGGGCAUGAGCAGGAGAGGAGCUGCAGGGCUGCAGGGUCUCCUGAAAAAACACACGGAACGAGCCAGGCCUCAGUCGCUACGGCAGCGUCUCAUCGAGCACCUGAAGGGAACGCUGAACGACUGGCGCACCGACGAGACCCUGAGGUUCCUGUACGGAGACGCUCGUCCUCCCGGCUCUCCGUUCGCUGACGUCCAAGAGGAAGAGGAGGAGGAGCUGGAUGAAGACGACCUCGAGGACGAGCCGCCUGCGGUGGAUGCCAGACGGAGUAAGAGCCCGUCUGCCGCGGCGCCGGACUACGACACGCUGCGGCGGGAGACGGAGCAUCUGGAGCUCCGGGUCCGGGAGUUUUAUCAGGGCAGGUGUAUUCUGCCUGAGGAGGUGACUGUUCAGGAGCAGAGAGAGAGGAGGGAUCCCUCUCUGCCGCUCAGCGACUCGCAGGCUCAGCGUCUCAUUCAGAAGAAAAUCGCAGUGGAGAAGCUCUCCAGCUGUCUGAAAAACAUCGUGGGUCCGCUGCGCCUCGCCAUGAGCGACGUCUCCAGCCACCUGAACAACCUGGUCCGGACGUUCAGGCAGUGAUUUCUUGAAGGAUUUGUUCUAAAUGUCACAACACUGAGGGCUAUUAAAUGAACUCCAGCGCCCCCCAGAGGUCAGCAUGAAACACGACAAGACCUGUGGUUUUAUUGCAUUCACCAAUUGUUCCAGAACUUCUUUCGAAUGUGUGAACUCUCUACAGCCUUCAGACGGUUGUGUCUAUCUUCUGUUACUUUUCAUGACUCUUAUUUUCCAGACCUGCAGUUACUGAGCUUCCUUUUUCACACUGACAGACAAAAGAACCACCUAAUGCACUGUUUUAAUGUGGAAAAGUAAGUUACACAUCAAACACACCAACGGAGACCAAAGUCUUAAAGUGUGUUCAGGGCCUGCCUGGAUGACAGAGCUGGGAUUGAUAAUAGAAUUAAAGAAAAGUUGUGCCAGAAGUCAGGACUUCCUGCUCUCCGACGGCUCCUCUUCUCCUAUUGGCUGGUCUGGAUGUUUUCAGCAACCCUGCUAUUAAAUCACUGAGUCUGAGAUUUAAAAGCAGGUCGGGCAGCAGAGUAGCACCUCCCGCUUCCAGGAAUUCUCUCCACGCUGUCGGGAGGCCCUGCUCGACGGGAGGCUCGGUCCAGGGAGCGUCCACAGCCCUGUCAGAAAGACGCACGGCGCCGCGGCGCUCACAGGCGCCGCUGUUUGUGGUUGCUUUAACCCGGCGCGCAGUUUGUUUCCUCAUUCGUGUGGUGCUUUUGUCACAUCAGCUUGAAGAUGUCUUCACAGAAUAAAGAAUGAAGACAUGUUUGAUUGAAUAGAAAAGAAAAGGACUGUUCCUGCUGUACUGAUCAGCUUGUUUCGUCCACAGGCUCACCAACACAAACAUCAUCCACAGAACUCCCGAGUGGACCCUCAUCGCCGUGAUCCUCCUGCACCUGCUGUCAGACGUGUCCCCGGUGCUGCGUGAAGCCCUGCAGACGUCGGCCUCAGUGGAGUAUUUGAACACGCUGAUGGAGG